UUUUUUUUGAGGCCUGUCUGAUUUUCCCAGGAUAUGCAGGGAAGCCAAGCGUGAGCAGCUAUGUACUGUCAUUUCCCUGUCAGACACCUGUCUGAUGCUAUCAAUUUCUUUUCUACCCCCAGAGGUUUCAACCAUUAGAGAGAGCCAGAACUUCCUGUCUGACCUCUUGCCUUUUCAUUUUCUCUCUCCUGGCUCUUCCACUAGCAGUGAAAGGAUGUCCUAUUUCAUUUUUGGUUAGCUGGGAGCAUCUUCUGCUUCCAUGCUCUGUGAUCUUCAUCGAUGUCUUCCUCCACCUUCUCUGGGCAGCACACUUUUUUAGUCUAGUCUGGAAGAAGAGAUUCAGGGACAAGGAAAAAAAAACUGGAUGAGUAAAAUUACAUUUCCAAAAGUAAUUCCAUUUUUUUCUCAUGUCUUUCCUAAAAUGCCAUGGAACUUUAUAGCAUCAAUGUCUGUCAGCAUGGAUUGACAAGCACCCUGGACUUUGGAUGACUUCCCUACAGCCCCAGCUGGGCCUGGCUGGCUGUCUCCCUUCUUCACUUGGCCACAGCAUAACCUGCAGUCAAGCCACAAGAGUGACCUCAAGGCCUCAGACCACUUUUCCAGCCUCAGCUUUUCUUAUGGGUCCAGCCCACUUACAGCAGAAAGUUGCCAACGUUUGGGCUGGUAAUAUUCGACAAUAAAAAGAACUGGAGUCCUGAUACCUGCACACCGCGAACAACCUUGAAAACAUUCCGCUAAGUGAAAGAAGCC
rnacentral:lncRNA from 1 species